rnacentral:rRNA from 1 species
AUAGAUGCAGAGACACUCCUUCAUCUACAGCUCACAACAGUAAAC